UACGAAGGGUGCAAGCGUUCCUCGGAAUUACUGGGCGUAAAGCGUGCGUAGGUGGUUCGUUAAGUCUGAUGUGAAAGCCCUGGGCUCAACCUGGGAAUGGCAUUGGAUACUGGCGGGCUAGAGUGCGGUAGAGGGCAGUGGAAUUCCCGGUGUAGCAGUGAAAUGCGUAGAGAUCGGGAGGAACAUCUGUGGCGAAGGCGACUGCCUGGACCAGCACUGACACUGAGGCACGAAAGCGUGGGGAGCAAACAGG
rnacentral:rRNA from 1 species